GAUGAACGCUAGCGGCAGGCUUAACACAUGCAAGUCGAGGGGUAUUGGUUUUCGGACCAAGAGACCGGCGCACGGGUGCGUAACGCGUAUGCAAUCUACCUUUUGCAGAGGGAUAGCCCCAGAGAAAUUUGGAUUAAUACCUCAUAGUAUAGUACUUUGGCAUCAAGGAACUAUUAAAGUCACAACGGCAAAAGAAUGAGCAUGCGUCCCAUUAGCUAGUUGGUAAGGUAACGGCUUACCAAGGCUACGAUGGGUAGGGGUCCUGAGAGGGAGAUCCCCCACACUGGUACUGAGACACGGACCAGACUCCUACGGGAGGCAGCAGUGAGGAAUAUUGGACAAUGGGCGCAAGCCUGAUCCAGCCA
rnacentral:rRNA from 1 species